UACGGGGGGGGCAAGCGUUGUUCGGAAUUACUGGGCGUAAAGGGCGCGUAGGCGGCCUUCUAAGUCGGACGUGAAAUCCCUCGGCUUAACCGAGGAACUGCGUCCGAUACUGAAAGGCUUGAAUCCGGGAGAGGGAUGUGGAAUUCCAGGUGUAGCGGUGAAAUGCGUAGAGAUGUGGAGGAACACCAGUGGCGAAGGCGACUCUUUGGCCUGUAACUGACGCUGAGGCGCGAAAGCGUGGGGAGCAAACAGG
rnacentral:rRNA from 1 species